rnacentral:rRNA from 1 species
UGGCGCGCUGCGUGAUUCGGCUCUGAUUUCGCGAUGCUCUGAUUAUUCGGCUGAUCCUGGCAGAGGUCACUGCUAUCGGGGUUCGAUUAAGCCACGCGAGUCGAGAGGGUUCAGACCCUCGGCGGACUGCUCAGUAACACGUGGAUAAUCUGCCCUAUGGUGGAGGAUAACCCCGGGAAACUGGGGAUAAUACUCCAUAAGUCAGGAGUACUGUUUAUGUCUCCUAACUGAAAGUUGCGGCGCCAUAGGAUGAAUCUGCGGCCGAUUAGGUAGUUGUUUUUUGCAACAGCCCAACAAGCCCGUAAUCGGUACGGGUUGUGGGAGUACUUCUCCUUGGAGAUGGAAUCUGAGACACCCCCUCCAGGCCCUACGGGGCGCAGCAGGCGCGAAAACUUUACAAUGCAGGAAACUGUGAUAAGGGAACCCCGAGUGCCCGUAAACGCGGGCUGUCCCGGUGUUUAAAACACAUCGGAAGAAGGGCCGGGCAAGACCGGUGCCAGCCGCCGCGGUAAUACCGGCGGCUCGAGUGUGACCACUUUUUAUUGGGCUUAAAGCGUUCGUAGCUUGAUUUUUAGUCUUCUUGGGAAAUCCUCACGGCUUACUGUGAGCGUCUAAAAGAUACUGGCAUCUAAGGACGGGAGAGGUAGAGUACUUCAGCUGACUGAUUCUGUAUCUUGAGACACGAUUGCUAGGCAUCUUACUAAACGCUUCACAGUGUGGGAACGAAA